AUUGAACGCUGGCGGCAGGCUUAACACAUGCAAGUCGAGCGGAGAGAAGUAGCUUGCUACUGAUCUUAGCGGCGGACGGGUGAGUAAUGAUCAGGAAUCUGCCUAUUAGUGGGGGACAACAUUUCGAAAGGAAUGCUAAUACCGCAUACGUCCUACGGGAGAAAGCAGGGGAUCUUCGGACCUUGCGCUAAUAGAUGAGCCUAAGUCGGAUUAGCUAGUUGGUGGGGUAAAGGCCUACCAAGGCGACGAUCUGUAGCGGGUCUGAGAGGAUGAGCCGCCACACUGGGACUGAGACACGGCCCAGACUCCUACGGGAGGCAGCAGUGGGGAAUAUUGGACAAUGGGCGGAAGCCUGAUCCAGCCAUGCCGCGUGUGUGAAGAAGGCCUUAUGGUUGUAAAGCACUUUAAGCGAGGAGGAGGCUACUUUAGUUAAUACCUAGAGAUAGUGGACGUUACUCGCAGAAUAAGCACCGGCUAACUCUGUGCCAGCCGCCGCGGUAAGAC
rnacentral:rRNA from 1 species